CCUAUAUUGAAGUCCUAACUCCCAGUGCCUCAGAAUGUGACUGUACCUGGACAGGGUCUUUAAAGAGGUAAUUAAGUUAAAAAGAGGCCCUUGGGGUGAGUCCUAAUCCAAUCUGACUGGUGUCCUUAUAAGAAGAGGAGAUUUGGACCCACAGAGACACCAGGGAUGUGCGCCCACAGAAGAAAGUCCACGUGAGGACACAUUGAGAGGGCAGCCUUCCGUAUGACAAGGAGAGAGGCCUCAGGAGGAACCAGCCCUGCCGACACCUCGAUCUUGGACUUCCAGCCUCCAGAACUAUGAGAUAAUGUCUUGUUUAAGCUGCCCGGUCUGUGGUCCUUAGUCAGGGCAGCCCCAGCAGAUGGACAGGGGUAUCUGUAAUUGUAACUAUUCCGGUAUCCAUUCUGGUUACAUUUAUUUUGGAAUCAGACCCCUGGGGUCAAAUCCUGUUCAUGCAUUUAUAACUGUGAUCCUGACAAGUCAUCUAACCUCCCCAAGCCUCAGUUGUUCCAUCUGUACAAUGGGAUGCUUAUGGCACCUGCCUCGUUGGGUUGCUAUGAAGUCUAAAGAGUUCAUGUAGAUUAAGUGCUGAAGAUCACAGCGUUAGGAAGCGUGCAAGCAGGGAUGUGAACACAGGUAGUCUGAUCCAAAACAAUGUGACCAGAAGACCACUAUGGCAGGUCUGUAUUCUUUCCCACAAACUCUCUCUCUCAUUAACAAAAAAUGAACAUCGUGAAGUGUAGGAACAAAAGUAAAAUUGCUCUCUGCGUGUGACUCAGCCUGGACUUGACCUUUUUUUGGCCAGUGAACCCCAGAGGAUUGGGAGUCUGUGUGGCCAUCUGCCCGCUCACUUCAACUCUCUGCAUCUCAACAGGAGCUCCCCUGGACUCAGUCCCCUGCCACCUUCCAUCAAGCACACAGCACAGAGAGGGUAACUGAAAACCCCCAGGAUAAUAGCAGUGAAUUACCUCAGGUGGGGCAAAUGUUGGCAAUGGGAACAAAAAGAGCACGGGCCGUUGCUCGUUAGUCAAACGGAAGCAGUUUCUCUCAUGGCUCAUAACGGCGUGUGAGUUUUGGAAGCUGUGUUCACUCUUUCAAAGUGUUUUGAUGGAGCUUUUCAGGGACACCUGACCUAACAGUGGUGGGCAUGUCCAGGCAGUCCCGUUGCCUGUGCAGGUGCUGAGAUAGGUGUCACCAAGGAGGAAUUAACGUCGAGACGUGGAGAGGGAGCCGCUCUUCGCUUGGCUGGCGCGUGGCUCCCCAGGAUUGGGGCUUCAGCGUAUCCUGGCAGAUUGCUGCUACACGUUGCUGGGUUACAAAAGCCCCACAUCAACAAAACUCCUGCUGAGAAAGAAUCACCAGAUUGAAGCAUCUGCUCCAGAGCCAAAUAGAAGCUACAAAUUGUUAAAGUCCAGAUGACGUCACACUGGGCUCCCACUACAGUUCCGGCUGAUCCCAGGACCUUGAAGUUCCUCUACAGAGAAACUAAUGUCCAGAGAACAUCAAGACACCAAAGCUUCCCAGGCCCGACUCCUCGGCUUCCUGACGUCACAGUCUACCUUCCACCAUGGAGAUAAAGAGGCAAGGACACUCAUCUGAGAAAUCCUGUGUCUCCUCCACUGGAAGCAGCCCCAGACGUGGGCCAAGGGGAAAAUGCCGACCAAGAAGGCCCCUCCACCCCCAAACCCCAAUGAAAACCCCUACCCAUUUCUUAACAAGGAGCAAAGCAAGGGCCGGUGCCCCAAAAGCUGACUUCUGCCUGGCAAAGUAAAGCCUUCCCUUUUUCACCCAAGACUCUGUUCUCGUUAUUUGGAUUGGCAUCGGGAUCAGAGAUCGAACUUUUGGUAACAAUGCUUCUAAAAAGGUUCUUGUAUUUCUUUGAGACCAUUUCUCAGAGUUUCAGAAAAUUGUAUGUAACCCAAGUGACACAGGCUCUUUCAGUGAAACUACUUAGUGUUAACUCUCCCAUUUCCCAGCUGCAGAACAAGAGUGAGGUCAGAGGCCCACUGCAAGGUCAGGCUCGCAUCCUGAGAUCCAGAGUCAUUCAAGGGGAAUCCAUGAGGAAAAAGCAGAAAAGAGACCCUGGGUUGGCAUGUUCUGUCCUAGAAAUUGCUAUGGCAGUUACUAAAACCCCAAGUAAGCCUUCCUCAAGGAGAAGCAGCAGAGCAAAGGCUUACCGCCACUCGGGUGCCCACUCCUGUCACGGCUGGGGCAGGGACGGGCUGCCAGAGCCAAAGCCAGGACAGCCUGCUUGGCCCUGCCCACCACGGCCUAAACUCUGCUGUCCCAGAGUGACUUAGGCAAGUCACUGCCCUCUCUGGACCUUUGCCCUGAGAUGGUGCAUCAGCAGGGAGGACCAGAAGUUCCACAAGGGAGCUGCUGGGUUUAGCAAUGUGAUGUGGUCUCCCCCUACCCUCUACAUUUCAUUGAUUUAUUUUUGAACAGGUCAUGAUAGCAAACACUUUGUGCCGGGCCCUGCUCUAAACCUUUACAUAUAUUAAUUCAUUUAAUCCUUCCAACAACUCUAGAGGGAGAUGCCAUUAUUAUCAUUCCCAUUUAUAGAGGAGGAUGUGAGACACAGAGAGCUUAAGGUUAAAGAUGAACAGAUAAAGAGAUCAAGGCACUGAGAGAUUGCCUUCUCACACUCACUUAGGUGGCAAGGGGCAGAGCCAGGUUAGAAUGCAGGCAGCCUCCCGCCAGCUUAGUGCCCUCACCCUGCAGUCCUGACAGCUCUGUCCUCCAGACUCCCAGUUCCUCUCAACUUCUCUCUCUCGAGGCUACUACUAUCAAUAAUUUUUGUGUAUCUUUUCAAAAAAUGUUGUGUGGCAUUUAUACAUUACAUACACACAUGCACAUAUAUAGUAUAUUACACAUAUAACAUAGACAUAUAUCCUUUCUUUCUUCAGACAAAUAGUAGCUAAUAUACUCUUCCUUUUUGCACCAAAUACAAGGACAUGAUCUUUUUAUGUCAAUUCAUUUAGAGCUGCCCCAUUCUUUUUAGGAACAACAUGGUAUAUCCCAUUGCAUAAACCAUAAUUUUAUAAACCACCGCCUACUGAUCACAUUUAGCUUGUUUCCAUUAUUUUACAAUUACAAAGAACACUGCAGUGAAUAUUCUUGUGGAUACACCAUCUGCACAAGUGAGCCUGUGGCAGGCGGACUGGUCCCCCAGGAUGUCCAUGUUCUAAUUGCUGGAACUUGUGAAUAUGUUACGUUACGUGGCAAAAGGGACUUUGCAGAUGGAAUUACGAUUUGGGACCUUAAG
ensembl:lncRNA